CGUCAAAAUAUGCCCAGUUCUCAGUCCCUGAGACCCUAACUUGUGAUUGAGUGAACAGAACCACAUGUUAGUGUCUCAGGAAUUGGGCGCUGCGGUGAGCA
rnacentral:pre_miRNA from 1 species